rnacentral:rRNA from 1 species
GAUGAACGCUGGCGGCGUGCUUAACACAUGCAAGUCGUACGGUAAGGCCCUUUCGGGGGUACACGAGUGGCGAACGGGUGAGUAACACGUGAGUAACCUGCCCACAACUUUGGGAUAACGCUAGGAAACUGGUGCUAAUACUGGAUAUGUGCUCCUGCUGCAUGGUGGGGGUUGGAAAGCUCCGGCGGUUGUGGAUGGACUCGCGGCCUAUCAGCUUGUUGGUGGGGUAGUGGCCUACCAAGGCGGCGACGGGUAGCCGGCCUGAGAGGGUGACCGGCCACAUUGGGACUGAGAUACGGCCCAGACUCCUACGGGAGGCGGCAGUGGGGAAUAUUGCACAAUGGGCGCAAGCCUGAUGCAGCAACGCCGCGUGCGGGAUGACGGCCUUCGGGUUGUAAACCGCUUUCAGCAGGGACGAAGCUUUUUGUGACGGUACCUGCAGAAGAAGCACCGGCUAACUACGUG